UACGAAGGGUGCAAGCGUUAAUCGGAAUUACUGGGCGUAAAGCGUGCGUAGGCGGUUUCUUAAGUCUGCUGUGAAAGCCCUGGGCUCAACCUGGGAAUGGCGGUGGAUACUGAGAAGCUGGAGUACGGUAGAGGAAGGUGGAAUUCCCGGUGUAGCGGUGAAAUGCGUAGAGAUCGGGAGGAACAUCAGUGGCGAAGGCGGCCUUCUGGACCAGUACUGACGCUGAGGCACGAAAGCUAGGGGAGCAAACAGG
rnacentral:rRNA from 1 species